rnacentral:rRNA from 1 species
GAUGAACGCUGGCGGCGUGCCUAAUACAUGCAAGUCGAGCGAACAGACGAGGAGCUUGCUCCUCUGACGUUAGCGGCGGACGGGUGAGUAACACGUGGAUAACCUACCUAUCAGACUGGGAUAACUUCGGGAAACCGGAGCUAAUACCGUAUAAUAUAUUGAACCGCAUUGUUCAAUAGUGAAAGACGGUUUUGCUGGCACGUAUCGAGGGAUCCGCGCCGCAUUAGCUAGUUGGUAAGGUAACGGCUUACCAAGGCGACGAGGCGUAGCCGACCUGAGAGGGUGAUCGGCCACCCGGGAGGUGAGACACGGACCAGACUCCUACGGGAGGCAGCAGACGGGAAUCUUACGCAAUGGGCGAGAGCCUGGCGGAGCAACGCCGCGUGAGUGAUGAAGGUCUUCGGAUCGUAAAACUCUGUUAUUAGGGAUGAACAAAUGUGUAAGUAACUAUGCACGUCGUGACGGUACCGAAUCAGAAAGCCACGGCUAACUACGUG